GCCCAAGAGAUCGGGAUAACACCUGGAAACAGAUGCUAAUACCGGAUAANAACAGAUGAUGCCUAUCAACUGUUUAAAAGAUGGUUCUGCUAUCACUCUUGGAUGGACCUGCGGUGCAUUAGCUAGUUGGUAGGGUAACGGCCUACCAAGGCGAUGAUGCAUAGCCGAGUUGAGAGACUGAUCGGCCACAUUGGGACUGAGACACGGCCCAAACUCCUACGGGAGGCAGCAGCU
rnacentral:rRNA from 1 species